UAAGUGAACGGUCACCAGACAGGGAAAGGC
rnacentral:piRNA from 1 species